rnacentral:lncRNA from 1 species
AUAUAACACAUUCUGAUAAAGUAACAGGCUAAUGGAUAUUUUACUUCUGAGUAGUGACUUAAUUGAUUUAAUUCCCUCACUGCCACUGAAGGUGGUCUCUCCUCUUCAACAGGUCUUUCAUGCAAGAACCUACCUCUGAGUAGUGACUGCAAAAUUAAGAUAAAAGUGCUACUAGUUUAGCAUGGCAACAUGUGAAAACAAAAGGAUUUUCAUAGAGCAAAACCAUAUAUAUAUAUAUAUAUAUUAACAUCAAUCAUCAAAACAUGUGAUCACACAACAGUCCAGAAGUGAUUUAUAAAAGCAACGCUAAUAACUUCUUUCUCUCAGCUGAACAUUAGAAGAGUUACACUCAAAGGAAAAUAUCCAUUCAACAUAGAAUUUUUAAGCCAAACUAACCUUUCAAAGUAGACUUGGUUUCUGAGGAUAAGUGCCAAGAAAGAGUUUUUGAUGCAGGAGUAUCUAUACUUGAAAAAAUUUAAUCAGUAGCAUGAUGUUUACCUUAUUCCUUUAAGAAAUUAUAUCACAACAAU